rnacentral:rRNA from 1 species
AUUACGGGAGGCAGCAGUAGGGAAUCUUGCACAAUGGGCGAAAGCCUGAUGCAGCGACGCCGCGUGGGGGAUGAAGGCCUUCGGGUUGUAAACCCCUUUCAGUAGGGGCGAAAAUGACGGUACCUACAGAAGAAGCUCCGGCCAACUACGUGCCAGCAGCCGCGGUAAU